UACGUAGGGGCCAAGCGUUGUCCGGAAUCAUUGGGCGUAAAGGGCGUGCAGGCGGUUUGGUAAGUCAGGUGUUAAAUCUACAGGCUCAACCUGUAGCCGCAUCUGAUACUACCGAACUGGAGAGUGGUAGAGGAAAGCGGAACCUCCGGUGUAGCGGUGAAAUGCGUAGAUAUCGGAAGGAACACCAGUGGCGAAGGCGGCUUUCUGGGCCAUUUCUGACGCUGAGACGCGAAAGCCAGGGGAGCAAACGGG
rnacentral:rRNA from 1 species